rnacentral:rRNA from 1 species
CCUACGGGCGGCAGCAGUGGGGAAUAUUGCACAAUGGGGGAAACCCUGAUGCAGCAACGCCGCGUGAAGUCCUCCUUUUUUCUUCUUUUCCCCUUCUUUUCUUCUUUCCUCCUCCUCCCUGUAGCUCAGGAGCAAGCCACGGCUAACUACGUGCCAGCAGCCGCGGUAAUACGUAGGUGGCCCGCGUGGUCAGUAAUUACUUGGUGUAACUGGAGCGCAGGCGGGAAGCCAAGUCAGCUGUGAAAAAUACGGGCGGAACUUGGAGAAGGAAGGUGAAACGGGUUUUCUUGAGUGAAGUAGAGGUUGGCGGAAUUCAGAGGGUAGAGGUGAAAGGCGUAGAGAUGAGGAGGAAAAACGGUGGCGAAGGCGGCCAACUGGGAUUUAAAGGACGCUGAGGCGCGAAAGUGGGGGGAGAAAAAAGGAGGAGAGAAAAAGGGAGGC